rnacentral:lncRNA from 1 species
AAAAUAUAUAUAUAAAAAAGUAAGUAGUUUUUAAAUAAAUCUUGAAAGUCAGGAUACAUAAACGAAUAUUUCCAAUUUUUUUUUAAAUUUUAAAUUUAAAAAAAAAGGGAGGGGGGUCAAUCCCAAAUGUGCCUGUGCAGUUUUCUAAAUCUUUUUAAAUUUUACAAUUUUGUGUUUAAAACAUCUGUUAGUUAAGUAAUAUUAUCAGUCGCCUUAUCAGUAUGACUGACAGAUUUAUAGCACUACUUAAUUAUUUUAUAAUUGAGAGAAGAUAUGAAAUUUUCACUUUCUUGUGCAUGGAUCUAGGACUGCAAAUCUAUCCUCUGAAACUUAUGUGCAAAAUUUAAUCAAACCUUACAACAAUCAUCUUUUGGGUAUCUAGAUUUUUAAAAGCGUGUCUGUCAGAUUACCCUCCUUUCAACCAAGAUUGCUGACAUGGCUAAAACAGGGGUAAAAUGCAAAUUUUGUCUAUCAAUUUGAAAAACGUUUCAAAUAGAGAAAAUCUGACAGGAGAAAAAUUUCAAAAUGUUGAGCUUUACCAAUUGUCCUUUUAUGUCUGAUUACUACUUAUAUGAGUUAUUGCCCUUAAAUAAAUUUUACCUAUUUUUUCAAUUUAGCCUAUUUUCAUGAAAACUAUAUUGAUAAAGAUACACUGUAAAUAGUAAAAAUGAUCAACAAAACAUGUUCUACACAUAAGUCUAAAGAUCAACAAACCUGAUUUUGGUCAUGAAUUCUACUUUCUAUGAUACCUUUUGAAGGCAAGUCCUCUGAGACUGUUGUACAAAAAUCUUCCAGAGUCACUGACUUGGUUGGAUUAUAUGUCAUGUGCAGUGGAUCGUUGUGUAUUUUCUUUGUGAUUUGGAAAUUCUUGCCGCAGUUAUAGAAGGUACCUAUAUAUUUACAGAACAAAUUUCUAAAUAUCUUGUCUUUCCCUCUGUUAAAUCUAUUGACCAGUACUAUAUGUGUCUUUCCAUCUGUUAUAUCUAUCAACCAGUACUAUAUGUGUCUUUCCCCUAUUUAAAAAAUGUGUAGUCCUAUGACUUGGAAAAGAAAGGAGAAACAGAAAUACAAAUCAAACAGUCAAAUGCUAUUUUUAAUGAUAUUUUUAACUAUGUUGAAGUGCUUCCUUUGAAUAAAUUUGUAUCCUUUUAAUAUUAUGUUUAUUGAUUAAAAGCUUAUUGCCAU